rnacentral:rRNA from 1 species
UGAGGGAAUAUUUGGGGACAAUGGAGGCAACUCUGAUCCAGCCAUGCCGCGUGAAGGACUAAGGCCCUAUGGGCUGUAAACUUCUUUAGACGCAGAGCAAUAAGGGCCACGCGUGGUCCGAUGAGAGUAUGCGUAGAAUAAGCAUCGGCUAACUCCGUGCCAGCAGCCGCGGUAAUACGGGGGAUGCGAGCGUUAUCCGGAUUCAUUGGGUUUAAAGGGUGCGCAGGCGGCGCGCCAAGUCAGCGGUCAAAGUUCCGGGCUCAACCCGGUGUCGCCGUUGAAACUGGCGUGCUCGAGUGCGUGCGAGGAAGGCGGAAUGCGUUGUGUAGCGGUGAAAUGCAUAGAUAUGACGCAGAACUCCGAUUGCGAAGGCAGCUUUCCAGCGCGCUACUGACGCUGAGGCACGAAAGCGUGGGGAUCGAAC